AUGGGUACAUAAAGCACUCAAAAUAUGUGUAUCAUUUAUAAAAUGUCUCCAAAAUAGUGUUAAAUAGUAAUGUAAUGGUUUGCGUCGAGGCAUCGGGGCGUGUUUCGAAUAUGUCUGCUCCUCAGCGAAGCUCAGCUUCGAGUAGGAUUCACAUUGGCGAAAUAACGUAGCGUGUGACGUUCGAGGCUUUGCCUCGGGCUACUGCUUCGAAAUAUUGGUUCAGUAUUGGCGGGACAUUUUGACUAUGGAUAUCCCGUACACGAAUACAAACUUGUGGGAUAUUGUCAGUAGUUGGAGAAAGUUUGAUCAUUGCAUUUGCGGUAUUAUCAAGCAACAUAUCACGUUCAUAAGUCAUCAUGGAGUUUGCUUAAAAGAGAAGGUUUUCCCCUGUUUGGGAGCAUUUUGAUUGAAUUUCUCCCAAUAAGGUUUGCCUAUUCAUACUGCUAUCCAUUUUAAAGCAUGGUUUGGCAAGUAGUAGCAUAGUGUAUUUUAAUGUUGUCUUUUGCAUUGAUUGUUUUUGUUUGUAUAGGUGAAAUGCCUAAUCCGCAACAAGCUUCUUGGUUAAAAUAACAAUACAUCUUCCAUGUUGAGGCAUUACCGUGCCCUUCAUGAGAAAGAGGAGACACCCACAGCACCUGCUGGGACUUGCACACCUUCCAGGAAAAAGGUAAUGGACGAGGCCUAGUGGACAUGGUGGUGAAGGAUAGCCAGCCUUUUACUAUGGUCAACGACCAGGGAUUCAGGGGGCUGGUAAAAUUACUGGACCCUUCAUAUGUUCUGCCCACCAGAUAGGGUUUAAAGGCCAUGGUGGAGGAACUGGACUUGAGCAUCUGCGUACAAGUGCCAGAAGAAUUGUAACAUUCUUUCGGUCUAGUACCAAGGAAAGUCUAGCCCAGAUGCAGCAACGCAUGGGAAGACCACUGCGUAAGCUGCUGAAGGAGGUUGAGACGAGGUGGAACAGCUACUAUAAUGUUGGAGAGGCUGCAUUCAGAUAGAGAAGCUGUCAACUGUGGCGACAUUUGGAUGCAACUGUGCAGAGGAGCAGACAAAUUCAUAGUGCCACAGCAGAUGCCAUCGUAGAGGUCCAGCGCUAUUUAAGAGAACCUCACAUCAACCGAAAUGAUGAUCCACUCCAAUACUGGGAACUGCACAAACUAUUAUUUCCACACCUCUACAUUUUGUCAUUCAAAUUUUUGUGUACCCCUGCAUCCUCUAUCCCCUGUGAGCGUGUUUCUAAAUAAAAAUCAUUAGCCAAAUCCUGUUUCUGAAUAAAAUCAUUAGCCCCCCCUUCCCCCCUCCAAAGUUACACAAAACACUGUCCCACAUCUCAACCACAUUUCCCCUUUUACAAAAUCAGUUCUACUAUCAUAUUGCCAAUUUUUUUUCAAUAAUCAAAGCACUUUCA